GGACUCUGGCUCAGCUAGGUCACAGGUCUGCCCCCUGGAACUAUCACUGAGCACCAGGGAUAUCCUGACUUAUGUUCCUGUGCUGGUUAACCGAUCUUCAGUGAAGUCUUCCAAUCCCCUACUGGAGAGCCAAUCCCCAUUAUCGUGUCUUCAAGCAUUCUGUACAUCCACAAUUAUUCAAAUAAACCUAAUAAUCCAUUUAA